GAUGAACGCUGGCGGCGUGCCUAAUACAUGCAAGUCGAGCGAACAGAUAAGGAGCUUGCUCCUUUGACGUUAUCGGCGGACGGGUGAUUAACACGUGGGUAACCUACCUAUAAGACUGGGAUAACUUCAGGAAACCGGAGCUAAUACCGGAUAACAUUUGGAACCGCAUGGUUCUAAAGUGAAAGAUGGUUUUGCUAUCACUUAUAGAUGGACCCGCCCCGUAUUAGCUAGUUGGUAAGGUAACGGCUUACCAAGGCAACGAUAGGUAGCCGACCUGAGCGGGUGAUCGGCCACACUGGAACAGAGGAACGGUCGAGACACCGAGGGGAGGAAGCAGUAGGGAAUCUUACGGAAUGGGGGAAAGCCGAACGGAGGAACGCGGCGUGAAGGAUGAAGGGUUUCGGCUGGUAGAACUCUGUUAGUAGGGAAGAACAAACGUGUAAGUAACUGUGAACGUAUUGACGGUACCUAAUCAGAAAGCCACGGCUAACUACGUG
rnacentral:rRNA from 1 species